CAGGUAUGGCGGAAUUGGUAGACGCGUUAGACUUAGGAUCUAAUGGAUCAUCCGUGGGGGUUCGAGUCCCUUUACCUGC
rnacentral:tRNA from 1 species